GANCUGGCUCAGGAUGAACGCUAGCGACAGGCUUAACACAUGCAAGUCGAGGGGCAUCAUGAGGUAGCAAUACCUUGAUGGCGACCGGCGCACGGGUGAGUAACGCGUAUGCAACCUGCCUGAUACCGGGGUAUAGCCCAUGGAAACGUGGAUUAACACCCCAUAGUACUUUUAUCCUGCAUGGGAUGUGAGUUAAAUGUUUAAGGUAUCGGAUGGGCAUGCGUCCUAUUAGUUAG
rnacentral:rRNA from 1 species